rnacentral:rRNA from 1 species
AGAGUUUGAUCAUGGCUCAGAUUGAACGCUGGCGGCAGGCCUAACACAUGCAAGUCGAGCGGUAGCACAGAGAGCUUGCUCUCGGGUGACGAGCGGCGGACGGGUGAGUAAUGUCUGGGAAACUGCCUGAUGGAGGGGGAUAACUACUGGAAACGGUAGCUAAUACCGCAUAAUGUCGCAAGACCAAAGUGGGGGACCUUCGGGCCUCAUGCCAUCAGAUGUGCCCAGAUGGGAUUAGCUAGUAGGUGGGGUAACGGCUCACCUAGGCGACGAUCCCUAGCUGGUCUGAGAGGAUGACCAGCCACACUGGAACUGAGACACGGUCCAGACUCCUACGGGAGGCAGCAGUGGGGAAUAUUGCACAAUGGGCGCAAGCCUGAUGCAGCCAUGCCGCGUGUGUGAAGAAGGCCUUCGGGUUGUAAAGCACUUUCAGCGGGGAGGAAGGCGGUGAGGUUAAUAACCUCAUCGAUUGACGUUACCCGCAGAAGAAGCACCGGCUAACUCCGUGCCAGCAGCCGCGGUAAUACGGAGGGUGCAAGCGUUAAUCGGAAUUACUGGGCGUAAAGCGCACGCAGGCGGUCUGUCAAGUCGGAUGUGAAAUCCCCGGGCUCAACCUGGGAACUGCAUUCGAAACUGGCAGGCUAGAGUCUUGUAGAGGGGGGUAGAAUUCCAGGUGUAGCGGUGAAAUGCGUAGAGAUCUGGAGGAAUACCGGUGGCGAAGGCGGCCCCCUGGACAAAGACUGACGCUCAGGUGCGAAAGCGUGGGGAGCAAACAGGAUUAGAUACCCUGGUAGUCCACGCCGUAAACGAUGUCGAUUUGGAGGUUGUGCCCUUGAGGCGUGGCUUCCGGAGCUAACGCGUUAAAUCGACCGCCUGGGGAGUACGGCCGCAAGGUUAAAACUCAAAUGAAUUGACGGGGGCCCGCACAAGCGGUGGAGCAUGUGGUUUAAUUCGAUGCAACGCGAAGAACCUUACCUGGUCUUGACAUCCACAGAACUUNUUGGUGCCUUCGGGAACUGUGAGACAGGUGCUGCAUGGCUGUCGUCAGCUCGUGUUGUGAAAUGUUGGGUUAAGUCCCGCAACGAGCGCAACCCUUAUCCUUUGUUGCCAGCGGUCCGGCCGGGAACUCAAAGGAGACUGCCAGUGAUAAACUGGAGGAAGGUGGGGAUGACGUCAAGUCAUCAUGGCCCUUACGACCAGGGCUACACACGUGCUACAAUGGCAUAUACAAAGAGAAGCGACCUCGCGAGAGCAAGCGGACCUCAUAAAGUAUGUCGUAGUCCGGAUUGGAGUCUGCAACUCGACUCCAUGAAGUCGGAAUCGCUAGUAAUCGUAGAUCAGAAUGCUACGGUGAAUACGUUCCCGGGCCUUGUACACACCGCCCGUCACACCAUGGGAGUGGGUUGCAAAAGAAGUAGGUAGCUUAACCUUCGGGAGGGCGCUUACCACUUUGUGAUUCAUGACUGGGGUGAAGUCGUAACAAGGUAACCGUAGGGGAACCUGCGGUUGGAUCACCU